UGAAUCUGUUUUGUUGAUGGUCAUCUAAUCAUUUCCAAAUUCCUCCCUGUCUUGUUGAGUGAGGCCAUGAUUAGAUGACCAUCAGCAAACAAGUUCA
rnacentral:pre_miRNA from 1 species